rnacentral:rRNA from 1 species
GACGAACCGAGCGAACGUUGUUCGGAAUCACUGGGCUUAAAGGGCGCGUAGGCGGGCUGUCAAGUCUGGGGUGAAAUCCCGCGGCUCAACCGCGGAACUGCCUCAGAUACUGACGGUCUCGAGGGGGGUAGGGGCGAGCGGAACUGAUGGUGGAGCGGUGAAAUGCGUUGAUAUCGAUAGGAACUCCGGUGGCGAAGGCGGCAUACUGGACCACAUCUGACGCUGAGGCGCGAAAGCCAGGGGAGCAAACGGG